UCAUGAGCAUGAGACACAACUGUGCAGUUAUAGCCUGAAUGUACUGUACGUAGGCUGACAAAAUGAGACUUGACAAAGAAAAAUGGCGUUUGAGAGUGAAUGGAUUUCUCACUCAAAUACUUGCUCCAAUGAUGUUCUCCAUCAGUGGUACAUUAUACCUCUCUUCGUUGCAUAGGUUUGUCACUAACCCAAAGAAGGCAGGCAUCAAUGAAACCACACUCCAGCAGGUGGAGCCUGGAUUAGAUGAGUCGGAAACAAUGUACGCACUGCUGAUAACUAUUUAUUCCUGCGGCGAACUUACAGGAGGAUUGCUGUCAGGUUUUUUAACUAAAUGCAUCCCGAAUUGGUACCAGUUUGUAUUUGCCAUAUCUCUGCACACGAUUGGCUACGUGUUGUAUGGUGUUGCAACUAACGGUGGGAUACUAAUGAUCGGCAUGUUCCUGGCUGGAUACUAUUUGGGAGCACAAAUCACACUCAGUAUGAACUACGCAACAGAAAUGAGUGUCGAGUAUGUGAAUCUACUGAAGGAAGUAAUGAAUGAAAAAGAUGAAAAUUUUGAAUAUGAGAAGAAAGUGGUGAAAACUCGUAACUUCCUAUAUUCAGUCUACUCCAUUGGAUUCAGCGUUGGGCUUGUCGUUGGUCCUAGUGUUUCAGUAAUAUUUUCUAACCUUCCAAUUGAGCAGUAUCGAUCGAUUGCUUGGUUCAAUGUAGCUUUUGGAGUUAUAUUGUUGAUCUUGUUCUGUUUUCUCUUCCGUGGAGAGAGUAAAUGGAACAGAACUAAUUGUCAUGAGCUUUGUGUCCGCUCAAAAAACAAUUCAAGUUCGGCCAGGCCUGGACCACUGCAAAUAUUCAUUAUUGUGAGUAUGCACUUGCUAUCGUUCGUACAAAUGCUGAAGUGGGCAUAUUUUGAAGCCCUAAUGAAUCCAAUUCUAAGUGAUUCAUUUGGGUUCUCUCUAAACACAUCUUCCUACGUCUUCUUGGGGGUGGCUAUCUCAAGCAUUCUAGGCUCCAUCUUACUGGUCUUGUUACAAAGAAUCAAAAUCAGUACACAGAUGGGAGCUUUCAUUGGUAUUUCAAUGACAAUUGCAGGAUACUUCUUGGUAACAGAUUGGCAGGCUAUACCUUAUGAUCCAUGCACUGAGUACAGUCCGUUCCAUCAUCCAGAUCGCUUUCAAAACAACCACUCAAGUCUAGGAAUGUUAACACCUUUGGAUAAUACUCCCCCAAGUUGGCCUGCUCUCUUAAAUAAUCGUGCACACAUGGAUAUUGAGUUGGAUUUUGGCGAUCGAACGUACACAGAAAUUGCUUACCACUUUAAUUUCAGCUGCUAUGUUGAUAAAUUUUGCCCAUUUUGCACCGAGAAAUCUACCAGCAAGCACCGGUGUUUGUCGUUUGUAGUUGAAGGUGAAAACGAAUCCUCAGAACAGAGGAAAGCAACGGACACUACUGCUACCAUUGUAUCUGAUAGGGAUGGUGCUGUUGAUAGGAAGCUACCCUCUUGUCUGGGUGAAUUUGGUGGCCAUAGCUAACAAUCAGAGUCCUGAAAGUGUUCAGGGUAUUGUGAUAGGAAGUAUCAAUGCAGCAAAUGGACUUGCUGAGAGUAUCAGUCCUGUGGUUGUCGAUUGAAAAGACGAAGAAAAGAACUUUCGUGCCGUCUAUUCUGUUUGCUCUGUUGCAUAUACCAUUUCUCAU